UGUGUCCUACGGGGCGCAGCAGUGGGGAAUAUUGCGCAAUGGGGGCAACCCUGACGCAGCAACGCCGCGUGCAGGAAGAAGGUCUUCGGAUUGUAAACUGUUGUCGCAGGGGAAGAAGAUGACGGUACCUGAUUAAGAAGCCCCGGCUAACUACGUGCCAGCAGCCGCGGUAAUACGUAGGGGGCAAGCGUUAUCCGGAUUUACUGGGUGUAAAGGGAGCGCAGACGGCAGCGCAAGUCUGGAGUGAAAGCCCGGGGCCCAACCCCGGAACUGCUCUGGAAACUGUUCGUCUAGAGUACUGGCGG
rnacentral:rRNA from 1 species